GGCCGAUGCAAAAAUGCCGGAUGCGCAAUCCGGAUAUGAAAAGGGCAGCACGCUGGUGAUGGCGGGGCUGUCUGGUCUCAACAUGGUCUAUGAGGCC
rnacentral:ncRNA from 1 species